rnacentral:rRNA from 1 species
AAUCGCAGGUCAGCAUACUGCGGUGAAUACGUUCCCGGGUCUUGUACACACCGCCCGUCACACCAUGAGAGUUAGAAUACCCGAAGCCUGUGAGCCAACUUUAUAAGAGGCAGCAGUCGAAGGUAGAACUAAUGAUUGGGGUGAAGUCGUAACAAGGUAGC